AGAGGACAGUGGAGGAUGAUGUUUGGGAAGCGGUGGCAGGAGAUGGUGUUUGGGGAGGAUGGCAUCAGGGGAGGAAGGGGCAGGCAAAAGUGGAGAUGGCCUUUGUGUGUGUGUGUGGGGGGGGGGAUGGUUGCCCUUACUUAAGCUUAGAAAAGCAUCUAGUCACAACCAGGCCCAUUGCAGUAAGAAUGAUGUAUUGCCAGGACACCUGAUCCAGAACUCAGGCUAGACUUGGGGCUCUGGGGCAGAGCACCUGUAUCUCUAAUAAGUGGUUCAAAGCAUUAGGUCUUGGCUUCUUCUGUAGCAUGUUCUUUCCCCAUCCCCACAGCUGAUGCUCUGUAACAGGCAGGGCUGCAUAUCCAUAUUGAAAUGGGCUGGGGUGUUCUGCAAUACUGUACUGACAGCAACACACAAUACAACCCAUCCUCCCCCUUUAGCAAUGGGACUGGAGGGGGAGAUCACUUAUUCCUGAGCUUCUUUUAUGGCAUUAUGGAUCUGGUGCCUAGCAACUCCCCCCCCCCCAUGCAUUUUGAAGCAUUCCCAUAUAUUUGUCACCUGCCCAAAAGAUAAGGGCACAUUUGAUUGGGGAAAAAAUAUGGAAUUCAAUUCAAGGAAGGGAAGCAACUUUGCAAAAUUGUGAUGACUUUUAAACAUUUUUAACUGGAGCCCUAUAGGAUAAAACAGGAAAAGAUAGCAAGUCUAGCCAUUGUUUUAUGCUAAUAUUUGCUUCUAUCCCACCGCUAUAUGGUGUUGUAUCACUUAAUUUUCAGUUACAGUAUUUACUUGCCUAAUUUUUGCAAACUCUGUUCAGGUACUCAGUGAUUUUAGGCUUGAUAAAAUAUAAAUGUGGAUUACUGCAUUCCGUGUUAGUGAAUGAGAAGGAAGCCUCUAUAGAAUUUGCUUAUUUUAAAAAAAAGUUACCCAGCAACAUUGUUUUAAACUUUUUUCACCAAUAGUUGUCAUGUCUGCCUAUUGUGGGGGGCUCCCCUGAAGUAUUAUAUCUAGUUGGAGAGAGGAUACUGGAAUAGAUGCAGCAGGGGUCAGUUAUUGUACAGCAAUUCCUAUGUUUGGGGAUGUUCCCCUCCCCCCCCCCCAUGGUGUUUUGUGGAUUUUGGGCAUCCCCCAUCUUUGAAGUUAAGCAGCUUAUGUUAAAUAUCUGGGUUUCAAAAAAAAAAAAUGGCUUAAGGUUCUUUUCCUGUCUUCCAGAUAGAGGGGUUCUUAAACUUCAUUACACUGCAACCCUCUUCUGACAAAAACUACUACAUGAUCCCCAGGCAGGGGUAAACUUGAGCCCCGCAUUACUACAUGACCCCCAGGCAGGGGUAAACUUGAGCCCCGCAGCACAGGGCUGAAGCCCUUGGGCUUCAGUCCCAGGUGCUUGAGCUCAGGCUUUGGCUUCAGCCCUAGGCCCCAGGAAGUCUAAUGCCAGUCCUGGUAACCCCAUUAAAACAGGGUAGUGACCCAUUUUGGGGUCCCGACCCACAAUUUGAGAACCACUGAGAGGAACGAUUUGAUUUGCUGUUUACAUUUUUUCCUUGUCAUAGAUCAAUUCUGAUUACUCUUAACUCUAUUUCUAAAGCUCCCCCUAUCCGUAGAAUUAUUUUGUAAUAACUGUACAGAUUUUUCAGUGAAAGUAUUUUAAAAUAUUUAAAAACAGACAGUCCUGCCAGCUCUUUAUGGACAUUAAAAAUCCCUUGGUACUCUUCUCAUGAAUAGGGCUUUUCUCUGCUGUCUUGACACAGUUUCCCCUCCUGUCACUGAUGUGCCCAAGAGGUGACUCUUUCAAUGGUUUUACAUUUACUUAGUAAUGACUAUCUUUGGGACUCUGUGGCAUGAAAGAUGCUAGGGAAAUAUAAGGAUAGAGUUUUUUCUUCCUGUUUUGGAGAUCAUACACACCUUUCAGUCUGUAAGGGCACAUCUACACUGGCAAAAUACCUGUCAGGGGACAUGUUUAUAACAGUUGGUUCCUCACUAUAGUGAGAACAAGCCUUAGUAAGGUGAAGCAACUAAGCCAUGAACAGGAUUUAGCACUAUUGUGGGUACUGGUGGAAACAUGAUGUGGUCCUGUCUAGGCUAAAAGACAGUCCUAUGUUAACCAUAACUAUGUCAUAGCCUGGUUCUCCUAACAGUUAUUUUUACAAGACCUAACUGCUAAAUUCAUUUAUCUGACCAUGUCAUUUUAUACCAGGUUCGCACAAGAAAGUAGCUACAACAUUAACACUGACAAGAUUUUCAUUUUCAGGUGGAGCUCUCCCAAUGAUCAAAUAUGCAGAGAUGAGUUCAGGUGGGCUGUCCAUGUUUCACAUGCUCUUUUUUUAAAAAAGCAUUUUUUUCCCCCUCACUUGUCUUCCGUGCUGUCUUGGGAAAGGAUGGUUUGGGCGCAAAAUGGGAAAGUGACAGGUCACCAAAUGAAGGGAGGGGAUGCUUAAGAACUCAGGAGAACUAGCUUUUGAGUCAAAGUAAAGUGCAGGAUGGAAAAGCAGAUGCUGACUUCCAAACAGGUUAACUUAAAUAUAUAUUGGUUUAUAGCCUUAUCUCCACCUCAAUCUCUCUGCCCUCCAUGAACCAAAUGUUCACCUCAUAUGCAGUCUCUGUUCCAGAGUGAACUAGAAGAGGAGGAAGCUGUGACAUAAGUUUCAAAUUUAUUCAUGAUUAAUUUUUGCUUCUGAUAGGACAAGAACCAGUGAGGCUGCCAGGUCAGCAUGGAAUGGAGGCAAGUUUGGGACUGUAAUAAGUGAGAAUCUUACAGCCAGGCAUAGUUCAAAGAGUGCCUUUAGCAAAUGUGGACCUAUGUUUUUGUAAUUCGAUUUGGAUCUCUGAAGAGAACAUUUCAAGUGGGGCCACGACUCCUGUUGACUACUGGGGAUCACAAGGCGCAAACCCAAUAUACAUCAUUGUCAUGGUUACAAGAACUCAUUUUUAUUAUUUCAUCAAAUAGAGCAUUGAGAGUCUGACUGCCCAUGAAAGAGCAUAAGCCUUGAGUUGCAGCUUCCGUGGUAUGAUGUUCCUCAAAGAUUCGACAGGAAGAUAUCAUUUCUCCUCAGAUGAGUGAGGAAUGCCAGCUCCAUUUCCCUAUUGCUCUCAAUGAUGUACGAGGAUGUCUCAGGCAUGAGAAAUCAACAAGCUAAGUGUUCAAUAGCUAGAGCAUCAGGCUGUGCUGCCAUAAAAUGGAAAGAGGAAGAGGACAACUAUGGUGGGUGAUAACUGGCCUCUUUAUGGGCUCCCUCUUGCUGUUCUAGAGUAGAGGGUAGGUCAGGCAGUGUGCAUCCUUGAGGCUCAGAAGGGUCUUGGGUGUGGGGAUCCCUGGUGCAAAUUCAAUGCAAAUACAGAUCCCGGAAGAAUAAAUUCCCAAGAAGGUGGGCUGGUAUUAUAACAGUGGCAUGAGUCAUUUUCUUAGAUUACAUCAGAUGUAGCAUUUCAUCCACUGACUCCAUUAAGUACAAUGGGCUUUUCAUGAUCUCUCAUGGUUGUACAACCAACUUUAUUGCUUUCAGCACUCCAUCACUGUCCAAGCAACAAUUCCAGCCAAGCCAACCAUCAUUUGAUACACUUCCACAGCUGGACAGCUUCAAUGCAUGAUAAAGAAAUCCACUACUGUACUCCAGUCUGCUAGAGAAGCCAUCUUGAGGACAUAUCUGAUGCCUUGCACAUCUGACCAACACCGUUAUUCUAUUCUGGACAUGAUUGUCUGAUUGAUUGUCAGCUUGAAAAGGCUAUUAAUUCUUCCUUGGAAAAGCUGCUCCCUUUGAUGGCUCCGUACUUUGUCAGUACUUGAGAUGGGCCACUGUAGAGAUCCAAUCCAGGCUAGUCCUGAAAUUCUGAGUAAUUUCUUAGCAUUAAAUUUCAUACAGUUGUUGAGACAAUCAAAGAAAAUAGCUUGUGAUGAGUGAGAGAAUGCUUUUCUUGAGGCCACGGGAAAACAGGGUGAAUGUCUCAUUCUUGCUCCAGCUCAUUUAGGCCAGGGGAAAGAGCCAGAGCAGCAUAAAGGGGUCCUAAAAGGCUGUCUUCUGAGGACCACCUCACUAGCCCCAGGGGCAUGGGGACUUGCCGGGUGAGACAGGACCGCAGCACACAGCACUGUGGGAAUUCCAGAUAGUACAACAGAGCACUCAGGAUGGGAAGGGCACAAAAGUGGCUUAAAAUCACUAUCGUGUCCCUUCCCCCUGGGAUGGGAGUUCCUUUCUGACACUCUUAGAGGUACAUCCCAGAAUCAAAGCCCAGGUUACCCCCAUAUUUCUAGUACAAGAGGUUUCAUUACUGGAAAUGGACUCCUUCCUUUGGUACCAUUGGGAGGGCAAGUUUUGAACCUUUGUGUUUCAUAACAUCUAUUCGUAGGACUGUUUCAUAUUUAGAUUUGGAUACUUGGGGCCCAAUCCUGUAUCCUUCAUUUACCAAGAAUAGUGUAUCCAGUGGGGAAGGCAUGAGGAUGGGAGUCAGGAGGUAUACUGAUGCCAUUCACCGCCUGUGUAACCUUGGACAAAUUACUACUUUCCCUCUGUUUUCCCUCCCACCCCGAGUGUCUUGCCUAUUUAGGUUGCAAGUUCUUUAGGACAGCGAUAGGGGUAACACGAAUAGCUCCCCCAAAACCAAUGAGACUAUUUGCCCAUUUCAAGCAGUGAAUAGUUUACAUCAGUUCCUGCUGUACAUUUCUCCCUUUCCUCUCCCUUGAACCUCAUCCUUUGAUUUUUCAGCUAACAAAUUAAACAAAUUCACUAGCCCCAGGUAAAGUGUUUACCUAUCAAUGAUUUACAUAUAAUGAAGUUUGUUCUCUUUCAGUCUUGAAGGAUUGUACUUCGCCUGCACCUGACAGCCUGGAACAAUAUUUUCCAGUAAUAUACAUUUUUAAACCUUUCAUCUUGCAAGCCUCCUUAUUGCGAUACUGAGAGAUUGGGAAACAGCCUUUGUCUAGUAAUGGAGUCAAUAUUGAUUAUGGUCAUUAGAGAUCCAUGUAGUUUGUGUUAGCAGUGAUUUGAGAGGACCUUGUAAAUGAGCAAUGAAUACACUGCUUGGAUUCUAAUUAGAUUUUAAGGGCCUGAUCCCUACCAGUUGCUGAGCGUGCUCAAGCCCUCAUGAUGUCAGUAGGAUUUGAGCGCACUCAGCACUGUGCAGGAUUAAGCCUGUAGUGUUGUGGUCUGGUUGUGCAGUAAAUCUGCCCAUGGGGUCAUCACAUAUACAGGCAUUUUGCUUGUUCUUGAUAACUGCAUAGACCUCAUUUACUUACAGAUUUCACUGCAGCCUAAGAUACAGCUCAUCACUUAGAAGUUAUGCCAAGACUCGACUAUGCCAAGAUAAAUAGCUUACAAGUCUUUAAAGUGGCCUCAGGAUAAUCACUCCUGAAAUAAUGCAGUUUGUGGUGUACAAUAGAUCACUCCCAUGGGGCCCGAUUCUGAUCCUGCAAUGGGAUAAAUCACAAGAGUAACUAUAAUGAAAUCAGUGGAGUUAAUUAACCCACUGUAAAACUGCUGUAAGUGAGAUCAGAACGAGGCCCAUUUUUAAAAAUGCAUUUGGCUUUUCAGUGAAGACAGAGUUGCGAUUAAAAUCAUAUUUGUGAAAAUAAAGUUCUUUUACCUUAAAUUGCUUUUAACUUAAGCCAAAAGACAGACCUGCAGGAGUUCACAGGUUCCCAAAAUCAUGGAUUAACAUGCAUUUAAAUGUGCAACAACACUUUGCUCUCUAUAGAGCCCUCAGACAACGCACAGCUACAAUGAGCUAGCUGUAUUUGCUCUACUGUAACAGAUGCUGUUACAAAUACCUCAGUAAGGUGUUCCCUUGGGGUCUGUUCUUGACCCUUAUUUUUAGCAUAUUGCUUAUUAUUGUGAGUGCUCCGUCGACUCCUGGGGGCUUUGGAUCAAGCCCCCAAACCAGUGGUGUUUGCAACAUCAGGCAGGCAUAUGUAUUUCUAAGUACUAGUAGCUUUGUAUAUGUUUAAGAACCCCCUCCUCCCAAAGCAACAUUAUUGCAAACAUUUCAGCACCUACGUGCAACUCUACAAUAAUAAACCAAGCUACAGAAUGGCCGGGAAAAGUUAUCAUUGAUUAAGAAAACAUUUUAAAUUUCAGACCUCUACUGGGCUACAAUGGAAAGAUAAAAAUGAUUUUUAGGUUUGAAUAGCUUACUUUUUGGGGGGCGGGGGAGACACUUCCUUCAGUACGGUCAGAAACUGUGAUAGGGCUGGUCAGAGUCAGAAUCAGGAGUCCAGAGCAGGAUUGGAGAAAAGCUGUAGUUAGAACAAGGCUGGAGCAGGCUAAGACUUGGGGGUUCCGUUGCCACUAUCAGGCCACAGGGAGUUUCAAGCCCUCAGGUAACAUUGAGCAAACUGAGCUUCUGGUCU